rnacentral:rRNA from 1 species
UACGGGGGGGGCAAGCGUUGUUCGGAAUUACUGGGCGUAAAGGGCUCGUAGGCGGCCAACUAAGUCAGACGUGAAAUCCCUCGGCUUAACCGGGGGACUGCGUCUGAUACUGGAUGGCUUGAAUCCGGGAGAGGGAUGCGGAAUUCCAGGUGUAGCGGUGAAAUGCGUAGAUAUCUGGAGGAACACCGGUGGCGAAGGCGGCAUCCUGGACCGGCAUUGACGCUGAGGAGCGAAAGCCAGGGGAGCAAACGGG